rnacentral:rRNA from 1 species
CCAGACUCCUACGGGAGGCAGCAGUGGGGAAUCUUCCGCAAUGGACGAAAGUCUGACGGAGCAACGCCGCGUGAGUGAUGACGGCCUUCGGGUUGUAAAGCUCUGUUAAUCGGGACGAAAGGCCUUCUUGCGAAUAGUGAGAAGGAUUGACGGUACCGGAAUAGAAAGCCACGGCUAACUACGUGCCAGCAGCCGCGGUAAUACGUAGGUGGCAAGCGUUGUCCGGAAUUAUUGGGCGUAAAGCGCGCGCAGGCGGAUAGGUCAGUCUGUCUUAAAAGUUCGGGGCUUAACCCCGUGAUGGGAUGGAAACUGCCAAUCUAGAGUAUCGGAGAGGAAAGUGGAAUUCCUAGUGUAGUGGUGAAAUGCGUAGAUAUUAGGAAGAACACCAGUGGCGAAGGCGACUUUCUGGACGAAAACUGACGCUGAGGCGCGAAAGCCAGGGGAGCGAACGGGAUUAGAUACCCCGGUAGUCCUGGCCGUAAACGAUGGGUACUAGGUGUAGGAGGUAUCGACCCCUUCUGUGCCGGAGUUAACGCAAUAAGUACCCCGCCUGGGGAGUACGACCGCAAGGUUGAAACUCAAAGGAAUUGACGGGGGCCCGCACAAG